rnacentral:piRNA from 1 species
UGACAUCUUCAGGAAUGUUGUUGGCCU